ACGGGGACCCGCACAAGCGGUGGAUGAUGUGGUUUAAUUCGAUGCAACGCGAAAAACCUUACCCACCUUUGACAUGGCAGGAAGUUUCCAGAGAUGGAUUCGUGCCCGAAAGGGAACCUGCACACAGGUGCUGCAUGGCUGUCGUCAGCUCGUGUCGUGAGAUGUUGGGUUAAGUCCCGCAACGAGCGCAACCCUUGCCAUUAGUUGCUACGAAAGGGCACUCUAAUGGGACUGCCGGUGACAAACCGGAGGAAGGUGGGGAUGACGUCAAGUCCUCAUGGCCCUUAUAGGUGGGGCUACACACGUCAUACAAUGGCUGGUACAGAGGGUUGCCAACCCGCGAGGGGGAGCUAAUCCCAUAAAGCCAGUCGUAGUCCGGAUCGCAGUCUGCAACUCGACUGCGUGAAGUCGGAAUCGCUAGUAAUCGCGGAUCAGAAUGUCGCGGUGAAUACGUUCCCGGGUCCUGUACACACCGCCCGUCACACCAUGGGAGCGGGUUCUGCCAGAAGUAGGUAGCCUAACCGUAAGGAGGGCGCUUACCACGGCAGGGUUCGUGACUGGGGUGAAGUCGUAACAAGGUAACCAAGGGC
rnacentral:rRNA from 1 species